ensembl:lncRNA
UUUUAACUGUGAUGACACCUCAGUAAAAUGUUAUGCAACUUCGGUGUCUUUUAAAUAUUCUGUGAUACUUUCAGAGGAAAUUUUCCAGUACAUAAAAUCAUCUCUUGUGUUACCCGAGAGAAUGACAACGCUGUUUUAAAAAUUACACUGAAAUUCCUAGAAAAUCAAACCAAACCAAAAACCUCACUGUUUUUUAUUUUCCUGGUAAAUAAAUAUUUUUUCUUUGUCAUAUUUAGGUUGUGGUGAGAGUUACGUAAUAUGUCUGAGAGUACAUUAUUUACCAUAAAUCUUUGUACAGACACUCCUAUUUUUAUUAGCUAUUUUCAAAAUAUCAGAAACUAAUAAUUCCCCUUCAUUUCCACAGAGCAAUAGUGAUCCUAGACCAAAUUCUUUCUUUUUCUCUCCAAAUUGGUUAUGAUCCUACUUCUUCAGGUUGGUCCACUAUAUUUAGGCAUGAAGGACAAGGAGAGACAAGCUGUCACUGGUCAACAGCAGCAGCAACAACAACAAAACAGAUACAAGGGCUUUUCAGGUUAGUCCUAGAGAAUUUCACAACAUCCCAGGGUUUUCACCGCUUCCGUGAGUAAAUUUUCUUUCCUGCUCCCAUGCAGGAAAUGGUUCAGCGUUGGCAAGCCAUUCAGGCCCUCGUUACUGCUAUGUUAUGAAUGUGCCCCCCUGAAUUUCAUGCAUGGGUUUCCAAAUUUCCUAUGUGGCAGUAUUGAGAGGUGGAACAUUUAAGAAGUGAGUGGUUCAUGAGUGCUCUGCCCUCCUGAGUGGAUUAAUCUUCUCAUGACUUAAUAAAUUGAUGGGUUAAUGGGUUAAUGGGCAAUCAUAGGAGUGGAACUGGUGGCUUUCUAAGAGGAAGAGAGGCCUGAGCUAGCAUGGUAGCAUGCUCAGCCCCCUCACCGUGUGAUGGUCUGCACUGCCUCAGGACUCUGCAUAAUCCUCACCAGGAGGAAGGCUCUCACCAGACACCGAGCCAUGCCCUUGGACUUCCAAGCCACCAGAAUUUCCAUAAAAAUAAUUCUAUACUAAGAGGUAUAUCACCAUUAUUUCUCAAGCUGGAGGCUCCAUCCUUACCUUGGGCAUUCCCAAGUGUCCAAUCCGAUUGUUAACAACUGUCACAAUUUAUGAAGUUCUUUGAAUAUACCUUAUCUGGAUGGUUGGUAAAUCAGAAUAAUAAGGAUAUUUGGCCCUUGAAUUAAUUAGUAGCUGCUUGAUUUGACUAAUCUCUUCUAGUCCCUACUUCAGCUGGUACUAUCUUACAAAUCUUACUUAAGGAAAUGGCUGACUCAAAGUUUUCUAGUCAUUUUGCUUCUUGUUACCAAUUGUAUUAGUUCUGUCUCAUACUGCUAAUAGAGACCUACCUGAGACUCGGUAAUUUAUAAAGGAAAGAGGUUUAAUUGACUCACAGUUCAGCUGGCUGGGGAGGCCUCAGGAAACUUACAAUCAUGGCAGAAGGGGAAGCAAACACAUCCUUCUUCACAUGGCAACAAGAAGGAGAAGUGCCAAGCAAAGUGAGAAAAGCCCCUUAUAAAACCAUCAGAUCUCAUAAGAACUCACUAUCAUGAGAACAGCAUGGGGGUAACCACCCCCAUGAUUCAAUUACUCCCACCAGGACCCUCCCAUGACAUGUGGGGAUUAUGGGAACUACAGUUCAAGAUGAAAUUUGGGUGAGGACACAGCCAAAUCAUAUCAUCAGUGAUCCCUUUUCUCAUGUACCUAAUGCAGGAAGAAAAUUGAGGUUUUACAUUCUGAAGUGCUAUUCCAUCUUUAAAAAUCAGAACUUUCUUUAUGCUUGAAUGUCCCAUUCCAUAUUUUAAUGUAAGUGUUUUUCAAUCAAGUAGAUUUCUUUGUAUUUUUUUUUACACAGGUAAUAUUUGAAUAUAUGAUUGUUCAGAAAUAAUUGAAAGAUAUAGGUAAGUAAAAUAGAAUUAAAAAGUCACUUAUACCAACAACAGCCUGGAAGUAAUCACUGUUAUCUUUAUCUUACUGUAUAUUCUUCAGAUUUCAUAUUAUUGUUAUUUGUAAACUUAAAGACAUCAUGCUUCUUUUGUUUAGCAAUAUAUUAUGAACCUGCUUCUUUGCCAGUAAAUAUUAUUUUAAAACAUUAUUUUAAAAGGGUGUUCUAUUACAUGAAUAUGCCUUACUUUACUUAAUAAAGCCCUCAUUUUUGGAUGUUCAAGUUCUUUUAAUUUUUUUUUUUUUUUUUUUUGUGAGACGGAGUCUCGCUCUGUCACCCAGGCUGGAGUGCAGUGGUGCGAUCUCGGCUCACUGCAAGCUCUGCCUCCCGGGUUCACGCCAUUCUCCUGCCUCAGCCUCCCGAGUAGCUGGGACUACAGGCGCCCGCCACCACGCCCAGCUAAUUUUUUGUAUUUUCGGUAGAGACGAGGUUUCACUGUGUUAGGCAGGAUGGUCUCGAUCUCCUGAACUCGUGAUCCACCCACCUCGGCCUCCCAAAGUGCUGGGAUUAUAGGCGUGAGCCACCGCGCCGGGCCAAGUUCUUUUAAUUUUUUAAAAAUAUUGCAAACAUAGCUACACAAUUUAACAAACACAGUUGCAAAAACAGGUAAAUGUUUGAGUGUAUCAUGAACUGCUUUCUUCAAAUUAAUUGGGAAAUAUGUAAUGAAUUGAGAUGACUUAAAAUUGACCCCUGUUGCCAUUUUCCUAAUCAUGGAAAAGAGUAAAAUAUAUGUUACCUUUCCAACCACAUCAUAGAAAAAUGCCACACAACGAUGCUACACUGAGGCAUCUAGGGAGUCAAUUAUGCAUCCUCAAACUCCCAGUAGGACUAAUUAGGUUUGCAUAACCUGUUUCACCAUGUGGUUUGGUUCACAAGGUAUGGACUGCUUAUGACCAAAUGACUUAUUAAAACAUAUGUACUCAAACCAGUUAAAAACAAUAAUAAUAAAGUUCAACUUGUAUAAAUCUACUGGGAAAAUAAACUACAAUUUAUAGGACAUCUGAUAGGAAAAAUAGCAGCUUUUAUUCCUGUACAUUAGCUGUGAAUUGUGAUUCCAUUUUUGGCUAGAUCCUGACUGGAGCAUACAGGAAGCAUGCAGUGAUCAGUUUGCUCCCAGAGUCCUCAUGGUAAAACACAAGACAGAUGAGCUAAGGAUUGCAUUGUGGAAGGGGUGACAGGGGGACCAGGGCCACAUAGUUUCUGUUUCUUCAUUCUCUUUUCUAUGUUAAGAAAAGGAGAGAGAGAGAGAGAGCAUGAGGAAGAAAAAGGAGAGAGGCAGAAAGAGAGAGAGGGGCACUGAUUGACUUGGCCCAGGAAAUACUCAAGCAGAUAAUUUUUGGUUAUUUCAUCUUUUAGAUCCCUGUGUCUUUGACUCUUAGAGGAUCAGUUGGAGCAAACAAUUUAGAAAGUAAACCCACUAAGCAAUAAGCUUUAGGCAAUGCGUUUGGAGCCCAUCAGAGAGUAUAACUAUUUUGGUAGUAAUUAUAAGUGUACAGUGGAAAAGUAAAACUCACAUGUCCAGAUCUGUCUCUGAUUACAAGUCUGAAAGAUAGAGAAAAUGAGCAGGAUAAUUUAAAGGCAGCUGGCAAGUGCAGUUUUAUUUCCAGAUGACGUUGC